AUAUGCUUGCUAAUCGCGUACGUCACGUUCGUAUUUCUACCCUGUGGUCGGCGAAACGAGAAGAAACGGAGAGAAGCUUUCCCCCAUUUGAGUCCCACUGCUGGCGGGGUUCACCUCCACAAAAGAGGAAGCACAGCAUACAUGCAUUAUGAUGGACACUGAACAUACUCCAGUAACAUGUUUGUGUUUGCGAACGUGCUUCAAGCCUUUUCGUAUACCAGUUUUUGCCAGUAUUCUUCUCUGUUCGCUUUUAGGCGCUACGCUUUUUGGUUCAACGAAGAAACAUUGUCCGCAAGCCAGUCAAUGUUGAUCUGGAGGGACUCUAAAGACGUUAGCAUUGUGUCGGGAGUGCUAAGUAGUGACGGAGGAGUUUUGUCAGAAUAUUGUGACAUCGCACCUAUGCAGUAACUGGACUCGAUUUCUUUUAUGCUGUAAAAAACUGUAUCUUGGUAGUGAUGAUAUUGCAAGCCCGCUUCAAGAACGCGAUUUUUACAGAUGACAACUUUUGGAGUAUUGAAUUUACGCAACCCACGACAGUGAUGCGGUACACUGCACCGGACACUACAUCGGCAUAGACCGUUGGCAGAAAACGGACUAAAAGCCAAUCUGACUGGGAAUACGCCCAAAAAAGUGGGUGAAACUGUUUCAGGCGGGUCGGAAUUUUUUCUUAAUCAGUUCGUUCCAUAUCACUCUAAUGAUUGUUUCCGGCAAGGUCGCGUGUGACACUCCACUUUCGUUAACAAGUUGCCUUCAGAAUUGGAUUCGUUGUGACGCUUGUUAAGCCAGUAGAAGAUAACUGAUUUGGACUUAGACCUUGUACGUCACAGGGCAACUGUGACGCUGCUUGAAAGGGCAGAUAUCUUUGCUUCGGUGUUUGCCAUCCGGCACGCUCGCCGAACGGUGUGCAUGUUACCGGUCAGUUCGUGUGAAGCGGCAGUCCAUCCUGCCAGGCUAGCAAGCGAAUAUGCUUGACGAGUAGGAGUUGUUACAGUCCUACGGCAUCGUCUAAAGCGAGGGCGGGGAUGCAAAGCAGACUAGACUUCCGAGCUUUUCCUUAGGUUUACUCUGUAUCGUAGCCCCGCGGCUGUGAGGAGUAGCAGACCGAACUUCUUCCUCGAACCGUCCCUGUUUUCGCUGGAGCCCUGCUGACUAAAGCUCUUCAUCACUUGCUGAAUGUCGUUUUCCCUGCCACACCCAGCGUCCGAGACUGACGCGUUAGACUUAAUAUUGUCGACGACUGCCGCGGCCGCGAUCAGCAAACAAAAUGAAUGCCCCGCUUCAGAUGCCCGUCCAUGCCACUCUCCUCGCGUUAGCAUGUUCUCUGGCG
rnacentral:lncRNA from 1 species